rnacentral:rRNA from 1 species
AACGAACGCUGGCGGCAGGCUUAACACAUGCAAGUCGAGCGCCCCGCAAGGGGAGCGGCAGACGGGUGAGUAACGCGUGGGAAUCUACCGUGCCCUACGGAAUAGCUCCGGGAAACUGGAAUUAAUACCGUAUACGCCCUACGGGGGAAAGAUUUAUCGGGGUAUGAUGAGCCCGCGUUGGAUUAGCUAGUUGGUGGGGUAAAGGCCUACCAAGGCGACGAUCCAUAGCAGGUCUGAGAGGAUGAUCGGCCACAUUGGGACUGAGACACGGCCCAAACUCCUACGGGAGGCAGCAGUGGGGAAUAUUGGACAAUGGGCGCAAGCCUGAUCCAGCCAUGCCGCGUGAGUGAUGAAGGUCUUAGGAUUGUAAAGCUCUUUCACCGGUGAAGAUAAUGACGGUAACCGGAGAAGAAGCCCCGGCUAACUUCGUGCCAGCCGCCGCUGUAAUAC